GACGAACCGUGCGAACGUUGUUCGGAUUCACUGGGCUUAAAGGGCGCGUAGGCGGGCACGCCAGUCGGUGGUGAAAUCCCCCGGCCCAACCGGGGAACGGCCUCCGAUACUGCGUGCCUCGAGGGGGGUAGGGGUCGACGGAACUUCCGGUGGAGCGGUGAAAUGCGUAGAUAUCGGAAGGAACGCCGGUGGCGAAAGCGGUCGACUGGACCCCUUCUGACGCUGAGGCGCGAAAGCCAGGGGAGCAAACAGG
rnacentral:rRNA from 1 species